rnacentral:rRNA from 1 species
UACAGAGGGUGCGAGCGUUAAUCGGAAUUACUGGGCGUAAAGCGCGCGUAGGCGGCUUUGCAAGUCGAUUGUGAAAUCCCCAGGCUUAACCUGGGAACUGCAUUCGAGACUGCAUAGCUAGAGUAUGGGAGAGGGAAGUGGAAUUUCAGGUGUGGCGGUGAAAUGCGUAGAUAUCUGAAGGAACAUCAGUGGCGAAAGCGACUUCCUGGACCAAUACUGACGCUCAUGUGCGAAAGCGUGGGGAGCAAACAGG